CCCUUAGAUGUCCUGGGCCGCACGCGCGCUACACUGAACGGAUCAGCGCGUUUUCCCUUCCCGAGAGGGACGGGUAACCUGCUGAACCCCGUUCGUGGUAGGGAUCGGGGCUUGCAAUUAUUCCCCGUGAACCAGGAAUGCCCAGUAAGUGCAAGUCAUAAGCUUGCGUUGAUUACGUCCCUGCCCUUUGUACACACCGCCCGUCGCUACUACCGAUUGACGUUUUAGUGAGGUACUCGGACUGAGCCUCAGAAGAUUCACGUCUUUUGUGCUGCUCGGGAAGAUUCCCAAACUUGAGCGUUUAGAGGAAGUAAAAGUCGUAACA
rnacentral:rRNA from 1 species